rnacentral:RNase_P_RNA from 1 species
UUCGUAUACCGGGUGUUCGCUCCGAUUAAUUUCGGAGAGGAAAGUCCGGGCUCCAUAUAGCAGCGUAACGGCUAACGACCGUCCGUCGAAAGACGAGGAUAAUCUCUCGCGUCACUAACGUGUCGCUCGAGAUCGUCGCCGAUGCGUGAGCAAAAGCGACGAGAGCCACAGAGACGAGUCCUGUAUCUGAACGAACCCGAAAGGGUGAGCGAGUGAUACAGGGGUGAAACGCGGCAAUCUCUACGUGGAGCAAGACCAAAUAGGUUCCGAUCCAGGAUCUGCUAGAUCCUACUGGAAAAUACGUCAGUAUCGGAACGGGUUAGGUCGCUAGCGCUGGCCAAUGCCUCUGGCAUUGACCGCGCAUGUCGUUGGCUUUGCCAACGACUAGAGCCACGGAGCAAUCCGUGGUCGAGAUAGAUGAGCGCCUCAUUCCGCGCAAGCGGGAUAAGACAGAACCCGGCUUACAGGUAUACGAAAUAA